GGUGGGCAGAAACUCCCUACUUAUACUCUGUUACAGGGGCAGAAACAUUGGUUCCUAGUAGAAUAAUAUCUCAACACACCAGACACAGAGACAAAAAAUGGUCGGAAACCUUGCCCACCAAUUCUUCUGAAACAAGUUCCUCCAAGUGGGGGUUGUGAAAGUCAAACCCUAGCCCCACUAAGGGAAGUGUACAAAUUAGUCAUACAGCCACACUUCUGAUAUUGUUCAAGGCAAUUCAAGUUUCAAAUACUGCAUUCCAGUCAAGAAAUACACUAGAUGUUCCCUGAAGUGAGCUUUGGAAAAUAAGCCUGUCUUAGUCAUGCCCCUGGUGAAAAGAGAGAUGGAAAGAUAUCAGUUCCCAAAAUGUUGGGACUUCAAUCAGAUAACUCUGAUGCAGACUUGACAGGAAGCUAUGCAGAAAAUUCACUCUGGGCAGAUCCCAACAGUUCACUUCUAAAAGGAUUUAUGUGAUAAAGCCCUUACAUGGAGCACAGGUGAGCCAGGCUGAGUUAUACAGAGCAGAGAGGAUUCUUUGGCUCUUUACCCUAAGAACAUGCUAGAGCAAGCCAUGUCCACAUUCCAAGUCUGGCCUUGGAUCUUACCAUGAUUUAGGCUGGUAGAGGCAUGGAAAAGUGAACUCAAGGGAAACUGUUUCAAUGUAUUUUAAAUAGAAUAAAGAAAAAUUUACUCCAGAAAAGGCCAAUUUCUAAUUAUCAGAAAGCUCCACUAUCUGGGGAUGUGGUUUAAUUAUCUUCUUGGUCAACUCUCAUAGAAAGUGGUAUCUGGCACUUUGAGUGGUCUUUGGGCUUUGACUGGCCCCUCUCAUUUAGAAGGAUAUCCACAUCAUUACAGCUCAGCAUCUCUAUUUACCCAGAGGUCAGACAGCAUUAUAAGCAAGAAGGACUCUUCUUUUUGUCCUCUCCCUUCACAGUGAGGUAAGGAUGAAAUUCGAUCAUCAAGAAUUACUUUGAAUGCAACACAGCUGUGGCUAUGUGCUCCUCUUUAAAAGGAAAAUACUCAUGGAAAAAUAAUAUGAGUACAAACAGAAGGAACAACCACCCCAGUUUCUCCCUGGGGACCUUGGAGAACAGCACCUACCUGGAGCACCUCUUCAUGAGGCACCCAUGAAGGAAGGAACCCAGCUCCCUCACAUCCUAGAGAGGCAGUCACCUGAGAAAUAGCAUAAAAGAGGUAAGCAACCUGAGUCUUUUAUUACCUGUGGCUAUUUCCAUUUCCCAAAGUGGAGUCUGG
rnacentral:lncRNA from 1 species